GUGUCACUCACCUUGGUCUAUGUAAAUAUUAAACUUUAGGACGCAGAUGGAUUCAUGACAAAAUUGUGUUUUGGUGAUGGUGAUGUGUUUGUACAUCUUACUUUACUGAACAUUCUGCUGCUUACAAUUAUCUCUAUCUAUAAUGAACUUGGCCCAGUACUAGUUUCAGAGGAGAUUUUUGUAAAAGAUAACUAAGAUUUACGAAAAAUGGUUAAAAAUUGACUAUAAAGGGCAAUAACUC
rnacentral:lncRNA from 1 species